CCUCGAUAAUAAUUUUUUAAAACAGGGGUUGUGGUCAUAAAUCAUAAUUUCUGGAGCAUAGCUAAAAAGAAAAUGUGGGGUCCUUUGCUCUAAAUUAUGAUGACUUUCGGGGUGGUGAUGGCACAGCCCUAAAGCAGUGAGGUGUCCUGCGGGGACACGCGGGCCCCACCCCCAGCAGCAGGGCGAGGCAGGGGCCUCGUCUUGGGCCUCUGUAGCAGGAGCCGGAAUCCCCAGCUCCUCUGUGACACGGCGGUGGGGGUCUGCCCUCCCUGGGUCCCCACGUGCUGCCACCCCGGCUCCCUAGUUGCGUGCGCCCAGCUCCGCCCCAGGGCUUGUCUCUCCUUGGUUCCUUCCGGCUCACUUCCCACUGCAACUGACUCUCCUGGUGGUGCUCCCGCGCAUGCCAGAGGGAGGGCGCCCCAGUUGUCUCAGCAGCUGCGUCAUAGGGACAGUUCUUUGAUACUGGACAUGUCACCCACGCUCCCGGCCAGCCAUGACCUCUUCGGCAAACAGAAGUAGAACUGUAACAGUUUGCGCACGGGGACUGGACCAGGUGAUUAAACAAAAUAAACACAGGCUGAGCUCCUGCUGCGUUCCGGGGUGUGCUGGGCCCUGGGCAGGUGAGGGGGAGGACGGGAGGGGACACAGACAGCCACACAGCUGAUGGAGACGCUAGGUAGGGCUGGGGGCGUCCUAACCCAAGCAAGAUGGGAGGGACACAGCAGAAGGCAGACGGACCUCCCUGGGCACCAACAACCUCUUUGUCCAAGAGAAGACACUUGAACUGGGCUUGGAGAACGAGCGGUGUUUCGACAGGAGACGAAGAGCCUUGGGGGAGGGGGGUGUAUCACAAGCAGGAGCAGGGCCCAGCAGGGCUUUAGGGCAGAGGAGAAGCUGAGACAGUGUGCGGCACAGCUCUCGGUGAGCUUGGUGAGCCGAGCCAGACACCCCUCACUCUCAUGUUGGACGUGACGUCACCCCUCGAGGAAAGGAGCCCUCUGUCUUGGAUUCCCGGCAACUCUGUGUGGUGCUCCCGAGGGUCUGGAAAUCCACUGGUACCCCAGCAGGCAGUGGGAGGGACCCCAUGGGAACCAGCUCCCCAGCCCGCCUUCUGCUCCCAGGUGCAAACGAAUGUCACAUCCUGCUUCUCCAGUGCUGCGUGGGGCUGGGGCGAGGGUCUCACGGAGGGCCUCAGCCAGGACCACUGAGCACAGGUCGUGGAAGGAAGCGAAGCCCCUCUCCUGUCCGGCUACAGCCGGCAGAAGCCUCCACUUCACCGAAGCUUCCAUCCUGGGACUGCCGCUCACAUUGCUGGCUGGCCCCGACCGGUCACCUCUGUCCCAGAGUUGGAGCCCUCCUGCCAGCUCCCUCCUGACUCACCCACCCUGCCCGCAGCCACCAGAUGCUCUCAGGGACCGGACCACAGCCACCAAAGCCACAGCUGGGGGGAGAGGGCAGAGCACCUGAGAUUUCACCUCCGGGUGGGACUCUGAAGACCAUCUGGAUUUUACAUUAAAAUAUGGUCCUGUUUCA